AUUGAACGCUGGCGGCAUGCUUUACACAUGCAAGUCGAACGGCAGCGCGGGCUUCGGCCUGGCGGCGAGUGGCGAACGGGUGAGUAAUGCAUCGGAACGUGCCCAGUAGUGGGGGAUAGCCCGGCGAAAGCCGGAUUAAUACCGCAUACGACCUGAGGGUGAAAGCGGGGGACCGAAAGGCCUCGCGCUAUUGGAGCGGCCGAUGUCGGAUUAGCUAGUUGGUGGGGUAAAGGCUUACCAAGGCGACGAUCCGUAGCUGGUCUGAGAGGACGACCAGCCACACUGGGACUGGGACACGGCCCAGACUCCUACGGGAGGCAGCAGUGGGGAAUUUUGGACAAUGGGGGCAACCCUGAUCCAGCCAUGCCGCGUGCGGGAAGAAGGCCUUCGGGUUGUAAACCGCUUUUGUUCGGGAAGAAAUCCUCUGGGCUAAUACCCCGGGGGGAUGACGGUACCGGAAGAAUAAGCACCGGCUAACUACGU
rnacentral:rRNA from 1 species